UUAUCCAGUGGAAUGAAUAAUAGCUCACAAACAUAAGGUUAAAGUGUUUAGACUUGCUUAUAGGAUAGAUUAACAUUGCUAUGAUCUGAAGGAGGAGGAUUUGUUUGUGUCCUUCUGUACGAAAUGGCUAAACAGAAAAAA